ACUCCUACGGGGGGCAGCAGUGGGGAAUGUUGGGCAAUGGGCGCAAGCCUGACCCAGCAACGCCGCGUGAAGGAAGAAGGCUUUCGGGUUGUAAACUUCUUUUCUCAGGGACGAAGCAAGUGACGGUACCUGAGGAAUAAGCCACGGCUAACUACGUGCCAGCAGCCGCGGUAAUACGUAGGUGGCAAGCGUUAUCCGGAUUUACUGGGUGGAAAGGGCGUGUAGGCGGGGACGCAAGUCAGAUGUGAAAACCACGGGCUCAACCUGUGGCCUGCAUUGGAAACU
rnacentral:rRNA from 1 species